GAUGAAGAACGUAGCGAAAUGCGAUAAGUAAUGCGAAUUGCAGAAUCCGUGAGUCAUCGAAUCUUUGAACGCACAUUGCACCCUCUGGUAUUCCGGAGGGCAUGCCUGUUCGAGCGUCAUUAUCACCCCUCAAGCCCGGCUUGUUGUUGGAUGCAGCGCUUAUCCCGCUCCUCCCAAAGAUAAUGACGGCGUCUGCGACGACUCCUGUACACUGAGCUUUCGGGCACGUACACGGCUAGAAGUCCAGACCCGGUCGCCGUCCCCCCCGCGGGGACACCCAUUACCACAAGGUUGACCUCGGAUCAGGUAGGAAUACCCGCUGAACUUAAGCAUAUCAAUAAGCGGAGGA
rnacentral:misc_RNA from 1 species